rnacentral:rRNA from 1 species
ACACAUGCAAGUCGAGGGGCAGCAUGAACUUAGCUUGCUAAGUUUGAUGGCGACCGGCGCACGGGUGAGUAACACGUAUCCAACCUGCCGAUGACUCGGGGAUAGCCUUUCGAAAGAAAGAUUAAUACCCGAUGGCAUAGUUCUUCCGCAUGGUAGAACUAUUAAAGAAUUUCGGUCAUCGAUGGGGAUGCGUUCCAUUAGGUUGUUGGCGGGGUAACGGCCCACCAAGCCUUCGAUGGAUAGGGGUUCUGAGAGGAAGGUCCCCCACAUUGGAACUGAGACACGGUCCAAACUCCUACGGGAGGCAGCAGUGAGGAAUAUUGGUCAAUGGACGAGAGUCUGAACCAGCCAAGUAGCGUGAAGGAUGACUGCCCUAUGGGUUGUAAACUUCUUUUAUACGGGAAUAAAGUGAGGCACGUGUGCCUUUUUGUAUGUACCGUAUGAAUAAGGAUCGGCUAACUCCGUGCCAGCAGCCGCGGUAAUACGGAGGAUCCGAGCGUUAUCCGGAUUUAUUGGGUUUAAAGGGAGCGUAGGCGGACGCUUAAGUCAGUUGUGAAAGUUUGCGGCUCAACCGUAAAAUUGCAGUUGAUACUGGGUGUCUUGAGUACAGUAGAGGCAGGCGGAAUUCGUGGUGUAGCGGUGAAAUGCUUAGAUAUCACGAAGAACUCCGAUUGCGAAGGCAGCCUGCUGGACUGUAACUGACGCUGAUGCUCGAAAGUGUGGGUAUCAAACAGGAUUAGAUACCCUGGUAGUCCACACAGUAAACGAUGAAUACUCGCUGUUUGCGAUAUACAGUAAGCGGCCAAGCGAAAGCGUUAAGUAUUCCACCUGGGGAGUACGCCGGCAACGGUGAAACUCAAAGG